CCGGGAAACCGGAGCUAAUACCGGAUACGACACCAAGCCGCAUGGUUAUGGUGCGGAAAGUUUUUCGGUCUGGGAUGGCCUCGCGGCCUAUCAGCUUGUUGGUGAGGUAGUGGCUCACCAAGGCGACGACGGGUAGCCGGCCUGAGAGGGCGACCGGCCACACUGGGACUGAGACACGGCCCAGACUCCUACGGGAGGCAGCAGUGGGGAAUAUUGCACAAUGGGGCGAAAGCCUGAUGCAGCGACGCCGCGUGA
rnacentral:rRNA from 1 species